rnacentral:tRNA from 1 species
GAUGUAGCACAGUGGGAGAGCAUUUGCCUAACAUUCGUGAGGCCCUGGGUUCAAUUCCCAGCAUC